CUCGUCCCUCCGAAAUUCACUCGGAGGGACCUGCUGCUCCGUCCUUCUAACCUUUAUGGGGGAGUGUUAUUCCCCCUGCUAGUACUGAUGCCAGAACACUAGCCUCAUCACCUCAUCCCAAACUUCCGAGCUCAAACUUGGAAACUUCACUCGCCUACUUAGCCAACCUAUUUCUCCAGAUUCAUGUGGCUGCUAUAUCGGUUGUGGAGCUGGCGAAAACUAUUGUCCACUCCCAAGGAGAGAAAAGACUCAAAUUAGAUAAUCAGCGACUUCGGGCCGAAGCAGAAAGGCUUCAAGCCGAAAUUCAGGAUUCAGAUUCCCUCCAGGCUUCACUCAGAAUGUGUUUGGAAGAGCGACUAACUCCCGAGGGAUCGAAAAAAUUCCUUACAGAUCCUAACUUCAACUUACAUGAAUCUCCAAAACAAAGAAACUAAAUUGGAAACUGUCUGAACAACGCGCAUGGGCAGUUUACUAGUGUCGAAGCCUCCCAAGAUCAUCUUAGGGCCAGAUGCCAGAAAUUAAAGCUCCGAUGAGAUUUGGCCCAAAAAAGAUACCCUUAAGGAGGUGAAUACCGGCGAAUUGGACAUUCCCAUGGCACUGUUUGAUGCGAAAAUUGACUUAGAAGCUGCUGAGUUAGCCAUGGAAGAUCUCGAAAGGAGUGACUCUGGAGGCGAAUAUUCCGAUGGCUCUCCUACUGCGGGGGAUUCUGCACUCACUUAGUCUUUUCCAUUCAAGCCUUCAUGUUUUUAUGUUGCUUCUUAUCAUGAACUCCUUUAGUUUUUCCUCGGUUAAGCCUUGGCGGACCAUGGGACUGGGCGUGUCGGUCCCUUUCGCAGGCUUGUAAGUUGUUUUGCCUAAGACUAGUUUUGAGCCAAGGCUAUAUUUUGUUCCUUCAUAUUGCUUUAUCGAAUGAGUUUAUUUUGCUUCUU